AAAUUGAAGAGUUUGAUCAUGGCUCAGAUUGAACGCUGGCGGCAGGCCUAACACAUGCAAGUCGAACGGUAACAGGAAGCAGCUUGCUGCUUCGCUGACGAGUGGCGGACGGGUGAGUAAUGUCUGGGAAACUGCCUGAUGGAGGGGGAUAACUACUGGAAACGGUGGCUAAUACCGCAUAACGUCGCAAGACCAAAGAGGGGGACCUUCGGGCCUCUUGCCAUCAGAUGUGCCCAGAUGGGAUUAGCUAGUUGGUGAGGUAACGGCUCACCAAG
rnacentral:rRNA from 2 species